rnacentral:rRNA from 1 species
UCCUCACUCUUUCUUCGUGCUUAACACAUGCAAGUCGAACGGAAAGGCCCUGCUUUUGUGGGGUGCUCGAGUGGCGAACGGGUGAGUAACACGUGAGUAACCUGCCCUUGACUUUGGGAUAACUUCAGGAAACUGGGGCUAAUACCGGAUAGGAGCUCCUGCUGCAUGGUGGGGGUUGGAAAGUUUCGGCGGUUGGGGAUGGACUCGCGGCUUAUCAGCUUGUUGGUGGGGUAGUGGCUUACCAAGGCUUUGACGGGUAGCCGGCCUGAGAGGGUGACCGGCCACAUUGGGACUGAGAUACGGCCCAGACUCCUACGGGAGGCAGCAGUGGGGAAUAUUGCACAAUGGGCGGAAGCCUGAUGCAGCAACGCCGCGUGCGGGAUGACGGCCUUCGGGUUGUAAACCGCUUUCGCCUGUGACGAAGCGUGAGUGACGGUAAUGGGUAAAGAAGCACCGGCUAACUACGUG